AAACAUGAAUAAAACUGGGGCACCCCACGAGGACAUAUUAGGUUUGAUAAAUCACUUAUCUAGUAGAUCCUUUAAUUGUUUUUUUAAUUUUCUGAGUUUUAUAGGUGUCAUCCUGUAUGGUGGGAUAGAUAUGGGCUGAGUAUCUGGAAGAUGGUCUAUUCUGAAGUCGAUUUCCCUUUUGGGAGGAACUCCAGAGAGAUCUUCAGGAAACACAUCUGGGA
rnacentral:lncRNA from 1 species